GAUGAACGCUGGCGGCGUGCCUAAUACAUGCAAGUCGAGCGAACGGACGAGAAGCUUGCUUUUCUGAUGUUAGCGGCGGACGGGUGAGUAACACGUGGAUAACCUACCUAUAAGACUGGGAUAACUUCGGGAAACCGGAGCUAAUACCGGAUAAUAUUUUGAACCGCAUGGUUCAAAAGUGAAAGACGGUCUUGCUGUCACUUUUAGAUGGAUCCGCGCUGCAUUAGCUAGUUGGUAAGGUAAUGGCUUACCAAGGCAACGAUGCAUAGCCGACCUGAGAGGGUGAUCGGCCACACUGGAACUGAGACACGGUCCAGACUCCUACGGGAGGCAGCAGUAGGGAAUCUUCCGCAAUGGGCGAAAGCCUGACGGAGCAACGCCGCGUGAGUGAUGAAGGUCUUCGGAUCGUAAAACUCUGUUAUUAGGGAAGAACAUAUGUGUAAGUAACUGUGCACAUCUUGACGGUACCUAAUCAGAAAGCCACGGCUAACUACGUG
rnacentral:rRNA from 1 species